rnacentral:rRNA from 1 species
AACUCAAAUGAAUUGACGGGGGCCCGCACAAGCGGUGGAGCAUGUGGUUUAAUUCGAUGCAACGCGAAGAACCUUACCUGGUCUUGACAUCCACAGAACUUUCCAGAGAUGGAUUGGUGCCUUCGGGAACUGUGAGACAGGUGCUGCAUGGCUGUCGUCAGCUCGUGUUGUGAAAUGUUGGGUUAAGUCCCGCAACGAGCGCAACCCUUAUCCUUUGUUGCCAGC